rnacentral:tRNA from 1 species
AAUAGAGUGGCUGAGAUUAAAGGCGGUGAAUUGUAAAUUCAUGAACAAGUAGGACUUCUUUAUUA